rnacentral:lncRNA from 1 species
UGAUUCUGUGAUGACUCAUUUGCGUUCACCUGGAUGGUGGCUGUUGGACACACACUGUGCUGGUUCCUUGGUACUGUCCUUACACCUCUCAGCGGUUCACAUGCCAUCAGUUCACAACUGAACCAGCUGAUCCAGACCUCUGAUCUCACCUGGAUUUUCUUGGUAUUGCUGAAAUCCAGUGAAUCCCCAGUGGUGCUAACUACCUAAAGGCCAUAAACUGUAAAACUCCUUAUUAACCAAAUAAUCCAUUAUGUGGACAGUCUUGCUCAAGGUAUAAGAAAUAUUCAUGCAGAGAAAUACUUGAGUUUUCUAAAAGCUACCAGCAGUUUGUUUCUUGAGGCCCCGCAGAAGUGGAAGUUCCAAGUAAGAUUUAACUCCAAGUUCUGAGGACUAGAUGGAGAACUGCAACGUUGUUGCUUUGCCUUUAUUAUUCUUGCACUGUAACCUGACUUUGGUUCAGGAAGAGGAAAUCCAUGGCCUUAAUUGAAGCCAAUCAGUGAAAGGUCAUGGGCUAAUACUUAACAGACAGCAACAGAGGAAAGAAAAAACAAGGAAAAGGUAAGGUCUCCACUUGGUUCAAAGACUCAGUUGGAUUCCGGAGACAGAAUGCACCUGGAAGCAGAAUGCACUUGGACCUCAAAUAUACACAUCACUUGGGAGUUAUAAAAUUAAAUUGAGUUUGUUUAUAGUACUUACUUGUCAUUUUCCCAGUGGCCUGUGCAGCAGCAGCCACUGUCUGUGGAGAUGUGGGUGACUACUGCAAAUGCUCAGGUGUUUAUUACACUGGCGUGACUGUUUAUUAAGGACCAGAAAUGGGAUUCUGUGGUUUAAGGUAUCCUAAAGGUUGGAUUUAAAUAAAAUAUUUUGAG